AACGAACGCUGGCGGCAUGCCUAACACAUGCAAGUCGAACGAAGUCUUCGGACUUAGUGGCGCACGGGUGCGUAACGCGUGGGAAUCUGCCCUUGGGUGCGGAAUAACUUCUCGAAAGGGAUGCUAAUACCGCAUAAUGUCGUAAGACCAAAGAUUUAUCGCCCAAGGAUGAGCCCGCGUAAGAUUAGCUAGUUGGUGGGGUAAAAGCCUACCAAGGCGACGAUCUUUAGCUGGUCUGAGAGGAUGAUCAGCCACACUGGGACUGAGAUACGGCCCAGACUCCUACGGGAGGCAGCAGUGGGGAAUAUUGGACAAUGGGCGAAAGCCUGAUCCAGCAAUGCCGCGUGAGUGAUGAAGGCCUUAGGGUUGUAAAGCUCUUUUACCCGGGAUGAUAAUGACAGUACCGGGAGAAUAAGCUCCGGCUAACUCCGUGCCAGCCGCCGCAUAAAAC
rnacentral:rRNA from 1 species